UUAUUAUAUUAGGUAAAGUUGAGUUGUUCGUGGUAAGUUAUUAACAGUGUUCAUCGCCUCACUUGUAAACAUUAAGUCGACCAAAAUGUGUUAAUUAAAAUACAAACUUGGAGGAUUUAAUACUUCACUACGUCACUUGUAUGGCUCCAAUUGGUUGUUACUGUAGUGUUAAGACAACUACCAUAUUGCUGCCUCGCUGAUCGUGGUUAAUGAAGUUCCUCGUGUCAUUCGUCGAGGAAGGUGACGUGAAGAUGUAAGAUAUGGGCCACAAGACGAAGGUUUGUUUUGGUUAAUGGGUCUCUUGCUGCACCACAUUGGAAACUUUCUGUUAUAACAUAAGGUACAGUGGGGUAUGCUAUAACGAACGGAUCCUACUACGAAUAUUCCUAUAACGAACGGUUCUACCUAUAAAAUUGAGAAUGCUAU